ensembl:lncRNA
CACUGGAAUGGAUUUCGGAAGACUUGAGUUACUUCCAGACUGACCUGAACACAGAUGAGGAGAAGACAUCUGAGACUGUUGAGAGGACCAUAAAGCACCCCAUGCACUGGCUGGUGAAUAAGUCUUCGGCUUAUGGUAAAUACUUUAGUGGUGCUUCUCAAAGUAAAGAUCAAAACCAAGAGAAGUUAAGUCCUCUCAUGAAACGCAUGAUGAUUUAUUAUUAUGGUGGGGGAAACAUUACAACUAUUUUUUCCCUCCUAACUAACCAGAAAGAUGGUAACCCUGUCAUGGUUCUGGAACACAUUAUUUCACUUUACCCAAGCAAUCCUAUGAGGGCGCAAAUGCCACAAGUGGACCUUGUCAACUACAUAGCAUCACACUUUGCUCUAAGUUGCUUCUCAACUAAUUCUCCCAAGCUGGCUGCAUUUCAGGAUCUACAAAGGCUGAGUCACCAAUUUCCUAAAGAGAAACCAAGAUGCUUACCAAGUGCUCUUUUCUUACAUGUCUUACUUUUCUGGCCAGAAGAGCAUGACACAGAAGAAGAGAAAGAACAUAAGUAUGAGACUGUGCUCUUUGCUGUUGAACACCUCCAGAGACUCUAUGACAAGAAAUUGAAAGACAUCCCUCCAAGGAAAAAGAGGAUCUACACUCAUUUCUUCCUGAGCAAUGGGACUGGUUUUGAAAAAUUUGUCCACAAGAGCUGGACGGAAGAUGAGAAGGUAUUUCUGGAGGGCCCCAAAGGAAUGAAAUUUCAUAUCCCAGCUCUGAAGACAUCCUCAGUACCCCACAACAAUGAGAAUGUCACUUUUUACCUGGGCUUUACUCUGAAAGGACCUGUUGCAUACAACAUUACCAUACAAACAUAGACAAACGUAUGUUUACGGUAGAUUAGGUGGUACAAAAAGAUGGUCCAAAAUCUGUCUUUAGGUGCUAAUGAAUUCUCAUACAAGAAGAAGGGCAUUUAUAGUUGAGGAAGUACUAAAUUUAGCAUGGUUGAUAACUUUUUUUAAUGUAAUUGAACUACAACUGUAAAAAAAAUAAAAAAAAUAAUCUUUUAAUGCCA